UACGUAGGGGGCGAGCGUUGUCCGGAUUUAUUGGGCGUAAAGAGCGUGUAGGCGGCUUGGUAGGUCUGCUGUGAAAACUCGGGGCUCAACCCCGAGACGUCGGUGGAAACCACCUGGCUAGAGUCCGGAAGAGGAGACUGGAAUUCCUGGUGUAGCGGUGAAAUGCGCAGAUAUCAGGAGGAACACCGGUGGCGAAGGCGGGUCUCUGGGCCGAUACUGACGCUGAGGAGCGAAAGCGUGGGGAGCGAACAGG
rnacentral:rRNA from 1 species